rnacentral:lncRNA from 1 species
AAAAAAGAAAAGAAUCUUCCCUUCAUGGGUUAUUUAUAUUAUUGCCUAAUUUUGUGGGAAAUACACUAACUGAGACUAAAUUUCAAAAUUUAUGUAACACGAAAAUGUCAUGGUUCUUAAAACGACUAAAUGCUAUACUUUGCGCAGACUCUUCAGUAAUCGCUGUUCGUCAAAUAUUAACAGAUAAUUCCCCAAAUGACGACGAGAAAAAUAUCUUCGUUGGGGAGACCGACGAUGAGCAACGAAUUGAUGAAUGGAAUCCACAAGACGAGGAAAUACGGCAGUUCGAACAAUAUCUCUAUAACUAUGAUUAAAAAAUUAUGUAAAAUUAUACAAGAAUUAUGUAAGUUUCGUCAAGUAUACGUUUACCUACUUUUAAUCAGCCUUCUCGUUGUUUCCUCUUUAUAUUCGCAAAUUUUGUAACUUUUUUUAGAAAAAGAUAAUAAUGAUAUCGUACAUGAAACGAAAUAUGAAAUGAAAUGUAUUGAAAUAUAAAAAGUUAAAAGUGUACUUUAAAGAUUAAACGAGUAAAAUUACAUUGUUUCUCGA